AUGUUCCAAGAUUUUUGCAGGAGGUGCCUGAAAGAUAUCAAAUCUCUCAAGAUCAUGAUACAAGCCUGGGCGGAUGAAGAAGACAUAGAGAUCGAGCAGCUCGAUUCUAGUUGUAACAGAGGCCAGAACAACAACAACCAAAGUAAUGGCCAACACAACGAUAUCCAACAAUGACAACCGAGGCAACUACUCGGGUGGUCCAAAUUGCAAGAGGAAGCUAGACAUGACUAUCGCGGCG
rnacentral:lncRNA from 1 species